UAAGCGGAGGAAAAGAAACUAACAGGGAUUGCCCUAGUAACGGCGAGUGAAGCGGCAACAGCUCAAAUUUUAAAUCUGGCCGGCGUGGUCGGUCCGAGUUGUAAUUUGAAGAAGCGAUUAUCACGUUUUCGUUCGGGUUCAAGUUCCUUGGAAUAGGACAUCAGAGAGGGUGAGAAUCCCGUCUGUGAUCCGAUCGGUUUCGGUACGAUAACGUUUCUAAGAGUCGAGUUGUUUGGGAUUGCAGCUCUAAAUGGGAGGUAAAUUCCAUCUAAGGCUAAAUAUUGGCGAGAGACCGAUAGCGAACAAGUACCGUGAGGGAAAGAUGAAAAGAACUUUGAAAAGAGAGUUAAACAGUACGUGAAAUUGUUGAUAGGGAAACGAUUGAAGUCAGUCAUGCCAAGUGAGAAAUCAGCUUACAGGCUACUGUGAGUGCACUUUUUACGCAAGGCAGGUUAACAUCGGUUUUGUUGCGUCAUAAUGAUUGUAGGAAGGUGGCUCCUCGGGAGUGUUAUAGCCUACUUUAGAUGGCGCGACGAGGACUGAGGAUUGCAGCGAAUGCCUUUGGCUACGGAUCUUUUCUCUGUUGAUCUUCAGUCGGUUGUCAGCUUGCUUGACGAUCGGCUGAUAGGUUUGCAAUAGGAUGGAAUUCGAUAAAUUCGCUAAGGAUGUUUGACGUAAUGGCUUUAAACGACCCUGUCUUGAAACACGGACCAAGGGAGUCUAACAUUGUGUGCGAUGUUU
rnacentral:rRNA from 1 species